rnacentral:lncRNA from 1 species
CCCCCUCUUCUCCUCUAAGUGUAGAUCCUUCGGUCACCGACGAUCAUCGGAGUUUUUCUCCGAUUUUCCCGUUUGAAGCCGCGGCCCCUCGACCUGUGCUCGCCGUGAUUUCUCGCCGGAAACCUCACCGAAGUCGAAGGUAAGCCCCGGCCCUCCUUCCUCUCUUCCUUCCCCUCCUUCCCAUAGCUUCGUGCACCCUCGCCGGCCGUCGGGUUCGUCAGAAAAUCCACAAA